rnacentral:rRNA from 1 species
CUUGGGGCGGGCCUACACAUGCAAGUCGAGGGGCAGCACGGGUAGCAAUACUUGGUGGCGACCGGCGCACGGGUGAGUAACGCGUAUGCAACCUACCCUUAACAGGGGGAUAGCCCGGAGAAAUUCGGAUUAAUACCCCAUAACACUGCGAUCUCGCAUGGGGAAGCAGUUAAAAUUACGAUGGUUAAGGAUGGGCAUGCGUGACAUUAGCUAGUUGGUGAGGUAACGGCUCACCAAGGCGACGAUGUCUAGGGGGCCUGAGAGGGUAGUCCCCCACACUGGUACUGAGACACGGACCAGACUCCUACGGGAGGCAGCAGUGAGGAAUAUUGCGCAAUGGACGAAAGUCUGACGCAGCCAUGCCGCGUGCAGGAUGACGGUCCUAUGGAUUGUAAACUGCUUUUGUAUAGGAAGAAACUUAACUACGUGUAGUUGACUGACGGUACUAUAUGAAUAAGCAUCGGCUAACUCCGUGCCAGCAGCCGCGGUAAUACGGAGGAUGCAAGCGUUAUCCGGAUUUAUUGGGUUUAAAGGGUGCGUAGGCGGAAACUUAAGUCAGUGGUGAAAUCCUGCAGCUUAACUGUAGCACUGCCAUUGAUACUGAGAUUCUUGAGUACGGUUGAGGUAGGCGGAAUGUGUAAUGUAGCGGUGAAAUGCUUAGAUAUUACACAGAACACCGAUUGCGUAGGCAGCUUACCAAGCCGCAACUGACGCUGAGGCACGAAAGCGUGGGGAUCGAACAGGAUUAGAUACCCUGGUAGUCCACGCUGUAACGAUGAUCACUAGCUGUGCGAUAGAUAGUCAGCGGCAAAGCGAAAGCAUUAGUGAUCCACCUGGGGGGAGUACGGCGGCAACGGCCUGAAACCUCCAAAGGGAAUUGAC